AGCAUAUCAAUAAGCGGAGGAAAAGAAACCAACAGGGAUUGCUCUAGUAACGGCGAGUGAAGCAGCAAUAGCUCAAAUUUGAAAUCUGGCGUCUUCGACGUCCGAGUUGUAAUUUGUAGAGGAUGCUUCUGAGUGGCCACCGACCUAAGUUCCUUGGAACAGGACGUCAUAGAGGGUGAGAAUCCCGUAUGCGGUCGGAAAGGCGCUCUAUACGUAGCUCCUUCGACGAGUCGAGUUGUUUGGGAAUGCAGCUCUAAAUGGGAGGUAAAUUUCUUCUAAAGCUAAAUAUUGGCCAGAGACCGAUAGCGCACAAGUAGAGUGAUCGAAAGAUGAAAAGCACUUUGGAAAGAGAGUUAAAAAGCACGUGAAAUUGUUAAAAGGGAAGGGAUUGCAACCAGACUUGC
rnacentral:rRNA from 1 species